AUUGAACGCUGGCGGCAGGCCUAACACAUGCAAGUCGAACGAGUGGCGGACGGGUGAGUAAUGUCUGGGAAACUGCCCGAUGGAGGGGGAUAACUACUGGAAAAGGUAGCUAAUACCGCAUACCAUCGGAUGUGCCCAGAUGGGAUUAGCUAGUAGGUGGGGUAACGGGUCACCUAGGCGACGCUCCCUAGCUGGUCUGAGAGGAUGACCAGCCACACUGGAACGGGGACACGGUCCAUACGCCGACGUGAGGCAGCGGUGGGGAAUAGUGUACAAUGGGCGCAAGCCUGAUGCAGGCAUGACGCGUGUAUGAAGAAGGCCUUCGGGUUGGAAAGGACUUUCAGCGAGGAGGCGUUACUCGCAGAAGAAGCACCGGCUAACUCCGUGCCAGCAGCCGCGGUAAUAC
rnacentral:rRNA from 1 species